rnacentral:tRNA from 1 species
UUUAAUAUGGCAGAAUAGUGCAAUGAAUUUAAGAUUCACUUAAAAAAUUUAUUAAUUUUUAUUAAAA